AAUCCUCAUUCAGCCAAGAUGUGUGUAUGAACCAUAAAGAAUGCCCGUGGGGUAAGAAAAGAGGAGGCUGGCGCCAACCACCGCUACUUUGAAUGUUGCUUUUAUGGCGCAUACCGCGCCGAUCCAGCCGCGCGGAUACAUUAAUUGGUAUACGUACAGUGUACAGUGCGUGCCAGUGACAGCCACCAAUAGCCAUGGAGUAUCGCGACACGCCGUGCCGUUUCACCUUUCUACCCGUCGUUUCUAUACCUCUUAACCUCUCUCGAUUUAUGGAUAUUCGUUCCACAGGAUUUUAUACCACAUUUUCAAGUACAAAGUUCUUUAUGAAAAUCGGUUGUCGCGUAACACAUAAAAACGAUUGCUGCAAUUAAAAAGUAAAUGGGAAAGAUGUUAUCGAGCUCUGAAGUCGUUGAAGAUUUCGUACACUGUACCGUCGGAAAGCCAUGUGGCUCAUGGCGCCUCGUUUCUUCUCAUCUCCCUCGCAUUAAGAGUCCAACAAGAUGCCAAAAAGGCUACACGUUUCUAACAAUUACGUCAAGCUUGAUACGCUGAUGCAUCCAACAUUGUUUGUAAAUCAUCAUGAGAGAUGACGCCAGGAAUGGCACACGUUAGACAGCGCUAUAAAUUUAUUUAAUAAAUGGCGCCACUGGCAUCAAUUUCAGAUACUUUCUAUUUAUUUUUAA
rnacentral:misc_RNA from 1 species